UUGAAAGGGAAACGAUUGAAGUCAGUCGUACUUAUGGGUAAUCAGCCUUUUGGGUGUGAUUUUGUGGAGCGUGAGGAGUUAAACGCCUUCAUGCCUGCAUAUUCGUGCACUUUGGGUGUACUUGCCCGUGUGUAAGUUAACAUCAAUUUUGGUGGUCAUAAAAUGGCUGGAGGAAUGUAGCUUCGAUCUUGUAUUGAAGUGUUAUAGCCUUCGGUAGAUGUGACGAUCGGGAUUGAGGAUUGCAACGGAUACCCUUCGGGGCUACCUGUCUGAUCUCUGAUUGUUGCUCUGGUGCCGAAAGCUUGCUUACGGUUAUUAAAGUCGAUGGUCAAUAGGUUAGAAUGGGUUAAAUUCGUUAAG
rnacentral:rRNA from 1 species